UAGAUAUCAAAUAAUAUUAUAUGAACCAUGAUAUUGAUAUAAAUAUUGGCUAUGAUGCAACACAUAAAUUGUGGCAAGUUUUUUGGUGCGCAGUUUUUAAAAAUAUAUUCAAAAUGAAUAGAACAAGGAGCAAAAAUUAAAAUGUAAUCAAUCUUCCAAUGUUCCUCACUUAAAACGUGAUACUGUAUUAAAAAAAUAUUAAAACAUAACAUCAAUAGUUCAUAAUUACCUAACAUGAUCAUCAUGUGUGAUUUACUAUUAAUCUCUUAGCAAACCCACUAUCAGGGUUGGUAACCCGGAUGCCCGAUACCGGGGUUACAACAAUUCUGGAUAACACAAUUCUAUUGACCUGAUGGAUGGCCAGUAUUGUUGAUUGGGUCAUAAAUAGGAAGAUCAUAGACGGUAUUAUAGUCAUUUUAUGUAGCUCAGCCAAUUCUAAAUUAGAUCACUGUUAUUAUAGGGUUCUUGCUCAGCCGCUAGGGUUUUGGCAAGAGAAGAACUCCUCGACAGACACCUCGUCAUGAACAUUAGCAAGAGCACUAAUGAUGAGGACGAGCUCAUGGAGUGACGGCGGUAGAUGAGCAUCAGACAGGAGGCGCUGGCACUAUACCGUGACAUUCUUUGGGCCCGCGGGGUCAUCUGUAGAGAUGUGCUCCAAGAGAACUUCCACUAGGAGUUUGAGGAAGCGAGGUACAAGCGCGAUCCAGAGAUCAUCACCAGACCCUAGAUCUCCAAAAUCCCCUUUGAGGUCCUCUCUCUCCUUCUCCGCUUCCAUUAUCCACCUCUCCAAUGGCCAUAUCCGACUUCUGCUCCUCCUCCUCCUCCUUUCUUCCCCUGACGAUGCUCUCAAGCUCACUGAUGAGUUCUUUGAUUCGAAGGAACCCCGCUUCAGAAGGCUUUUUUUUGCAUAUGAAGGAGUAAGAGAAGGGAGCGAUUGCGAAGCCUGAUGAGGGAUGGAUCCGUAUUUUCACUCUCCCGCAACGAGAACUUUCUCAUGAACUUGCCAGCCCUUAUCUCCAUCCGUAGGCAUAUCCACCUCAAAGACGUACGAUCAAGGGAGUUCCUUCACGUCUGCUGGAGUCAUGCUCUUAUCCAACUCAUCAGGGAAUGUCCAUGAGGUGCUGCAUAGGUGGACAUGAGAGGUCCCUCCAAGCCCAUCACCAGGUCCAUUGCUUCUCCCAAUCCUUUUGUUGAUCUUCUUCUAAUGUUGUUGUUGUUAAUCUUGCUCUUCUCUUUGAUUGAUUUGGAUUUCAUCGAUGAUAAGAGAAUUAGGGUGAAGAAACUGUUCUCCGUCUAGGACUUCUUUCGGUAUGCUAAGACCGAAGGUAUUUCAAUGAGAAUUGGUGGCCUUCGUCUUCGGUGUUUGAGGAUCCUCCGGUUGAGAGCGCAGAUAAAGAGAAACUUAUUGAUAUUUUUCAGGUGGAGCUUCUCUACACCAAGUUUGCCUCUUUGGUGAAAUCAGAUCACUAGAGAGAUCUUGGAAAUCGUCGCCGGCGCUGAUUUACUCAUUUAGUCUGGAAAUUGAGGAUGAGGACUGUUAAAGCUCCUUACACAAUUUGUUUGGAACUAGGGAAAUAUUGAUGCACAGGUGUGUGACCUCAUUUGGAGUUAUGCUUGGUUUUGAUAGAGUAUGAAGCUGACGCUGCCGGAGAGAAGAUGGUUGGAUCUACCCAAAUAGGAUGAUUAAUUGACAAGUUUGGAGGGUUAUACUUUUUGAUAAGAAAGCAAUCAGUGAAAAUCCAGUCCUUUUUUAUAUAUUUAAUUUAUUUUAAUUUUAUUUUUCAAUUAAAUUCAUGUUGACAGGUCUUAUUUUUGGAUGAAGAUAAGCCACAAUUGUUGACUCUAUAAGCUACAAUUGUUGACUCUGGCCGUGUAUAAUUAAUGUAAUCCUGUCAAUUCGUUGU